UGCGGCGGCGGCGGUCCAAGUCCCUUGGAACAGGGCGCCAUUGAGGGUGAGAGCCCCGUGGGACCGUUUGCCUAUGCUCUGMGGCCCUUCUGWCGAGUCSAGUUGUUUKGGAAUGCAGCUMUAAGCGGGUGGUAAAUUCCAUCUAAGGCUAAAUACUGGCGAGAGACCGAUAGCGAACAAGUACUGUGAAGGAAAGAUGAAAAGCACUUUGAAAAGAGAGUGAAACAGCACGUGAAAUUGUUGAAAGGGAAGGGUAUUGCGCCCGACAUGGAGCGUGCGCACCGCUGCCCCUCGUGGGCGGCGCUCUGGGCGUGCUCUGGGCCAGCAUCGGUUUUUGCCGCGGGAGAAGGGCGGCGGGCAUGUAGCUCUUCGGAGUGUUAUAGCCUGCCGCCGGCGCCGCGAGCGGGGACCGAGGACUGCGACUUUUGUCUCGGAUGCUG
rnacentral:rRNA from 1 species